GGCCCUGUAGCUCAGAGGAUAGAGCAGGAGUUUCCUAAACUCUGUGUCGGAGGUUCGAGUCCUCCCAGGGUCG
rnacentral:tRNA from 1 species